rnacentral:rRNA from 1 species
UAGCGUAUAUUAAAGUUGUUGCAGUUAAAAAGCUCGUAGUUGAAGUUCUGAUUGCUCAGGUCCUCAGCCUUUAGGCGGGGAUUCUGACAGUCAUCCGCUUGCAAGCAUAUGCUCGACCUUCAAAAGUCGGCUAUGUGAGUAAGCAUUUUACCUUGAGAAAAACAGAGUGUUCCAGGCAGGUUUGUCCGGGAUGCAUUAGCAUGGAAUAAUAGAACAUGACUGAAGUCUAUUUAUUGGUUUAAGGCUUUAGUAAUGAUUAAUAGGAACAGUCGGGGGCAUUCGUACUCAGCAGUC